rnacentral:ncRNA from 1 species
UAAGUUUAGCGCCUGAACACAAGCUUUUAUUGUGUUGACGAGGUUCAAAGUUAUCGAAUUUUCGGCGGAUGCUUUGAUGGCUUACUUAUAGUCAUUAGUAUUAUACAAAAAAUUGUAGUGAUACAAUAACAAAAGAUAA